rnacentral:rRNA from 1 species
UACCAGCACCCCGAGUGGUCGGGACGUUUAUUGGGCCUAAAGCAUCCGUAGCCGGUUCUACAAGUCUUCCGUUAAAUCCAACUGCUUAACAGGUGGGCUGCGGAAGAUACUAUAGGGCUAGGAGGCGGGAGAGGCAAGCGGUACUCGAUGGGUAGGGGUAAAAUCCGUUGAUCCAUUGAAGACCACCAGUGGCGAAGGCGGCUUGCCAGAACGCGCUCGACGGUGAGGGAUGAAAGCUGGGGGGAGCAAACCGG